rnacentral:rRNA from 1 species
GUGGGGAAUUUUGGACAAUGGGCGAAAGCCUGAUCCAGCCAUGCCGCGUGCAGGAUGAAGGCCUUCGGGUUGUAAACUGCUUUUGUACGGAACGAAGAGACUCUGGUUAAUACCUGGGGUCCAUGACGGUACCGUAAGAAUAAGCACCGGCUAACUACGUGCCAGCAGCCGCGGCAAUAAGUAGGGUGCAAGCGUCAAUCGGAAUUACUGGGCGUAAAGCGUGCGCAGACGGUUAUAUAAGACAGAUGUGAAAUCCCCGGGCUCAACCUGGGAACAGCAUUUGUGACUGUAUAGCUAGAGUACGGCAGAGGGAGAUGGAAUUCCGCGUGUAGCAGUGAAAUGCGUAGAUAUGCGGAGGAACACCGAUGGCGAAGGCAAUCCCCUGGGCCUGUACUGACGCUCAUGCACGAAAGCGUGGGGAGCAAACAGGAUUAGAAACCCGUGUAGUCC